rnacentral:rRNA from 1 species
AUUGAACGCUGGCGGCAUGCUUUACACAUGCGAGUCGAACGGCAGCACGAAAGAGCUUGCUCUUUUGGUGGCGAGUGGCGAACGGGUGAGUAAUGCAUCGGAACGUACCGAGUAAUGGGGGAUAACUGUCCGAAAGGAUAGCUAAUACCGCAUACGCUUUGAGAAGGAAAGUGGGGGCUCUUCGGACCUCACGUUAUUCGAGCGGCCGAUGUCUGAUUAGCUAGUUGGUGGGGUAAAGGCCUACCAAGGCGACGAUCAGUAGCGGGUCUGAGAGGAUGAUCCGCCACACUGGGACUGAGACACGGCCCAGACUCCUACGGGAGGCAGCAGUGGGGAAUUUUGGACAAUGGGCGCAAGCCUGAUCCAGCCAUGCCGCGUGUCUGAAGAAGGCCUUCGGGUUGUAAAGGACUUUUGUUAGGGAAGAAAAGGAUAGUGUUAAUACCAUUAUCUGCUGACGGUACCUAAAGAAUAAGCACCGGCUAACUACGUG